GGGGGCGGGGCCCGGAGGGAGUCUGGGAGGGCCCGAAAGUUUGCCCAAGUCGCUGGGGCGGCCGGCCGGGGUGCAAGCAGUCGGGCCGGGCUCCCACGACCCCCGCGCGGGGCGGGCCCAGGCAGGAAGUGGGCGCACUUACUGGCCCCCUCGAUCUUGUCGGCGCCCCGGCUCCACGUGAUCUGGCGCGUCUCCAGCUUGACCUGGAAGGUCUUCCGCUCGGGUCGCUGCGACUUCUUGGAGUAGAACAAAGUCAUGACGGUGCCCACCUCGAGGCUGCGGCAGAGCACCGCCAAAAUUGAGGACACCCACGGUCGCGGUGGAGCCUGUCUGACAUGUUGAGCCAGGCAGUGGGUCGGCUGCCAGGCACAGCAGGACAACUUACUGCAUUUCAGAGGAAUGAUGGUCCACAAUUUACUGAUGAGGAAACAGAGAUUCAGAGAAGUUCUACAAUUUGCCCCAAAGCCACAUAACAUGACUAGGUGGGAACUAGAACCCAAGUCGGCCUGACUCCAUGAGUUUUCUGCCUCACAGGAGAUCCACUGGCUUAGAGUUUCUCUCUCGUCGCCCAGGCUGGCGUGCAAUGGCACAAUCUUGGCUCACUGCAAUCUCCGCCUCCCGAGUUCAAGCAGUCCUGCCUCAGCCUCCUGAGUCUCUUUUGAUUUGGUGCUGUCACAGGUUGGGUUCUUUGGAUGUGGACUCUGUGACAGGAAACCAGCCAAGUAACCUUGUUAUCAUGCCGGACUUCUUUCCACUUAUGUCCUGGAGGAGGAGAAGGAACCUUGGCAUCUCUGGAAAUAACAGAGCACGAGGAUAGUGAAAUAAGAUGCCCCAAAGUGUGAAAGUGGUGAUGUUGGCAAUUUGGAUAUGCCAUACAGAAGCUGCACAGAGUGCUUUAAAUGAAAAGGUGGAAAUUAUCGACUUAAUAAAAAAAACUGUAUGGUGAAGUUGCUAAGAUCUAAGGCAGCCUGUAGAAGAAAAAUGACAUCCCAGCUGGAUACCAGAAAGAUCCUUCAGUAAUGAGGAUGGCCAAGGCUGGAAGAUGGAGAUGGAUGAGCAUCACAAGAUUCCAGAGUAAAAUAGAUCAAAGAGCAGGGAGGUACAUGGCCAAUAUGAUUUCAUCUGUCUUAAAUCCUUAAUAUCCAGUAGCCACUGUGGGACAGGUCUGCCCAUCCUUAAUUACUAUAUUAUUGGCUGGAGUUACUGACUGGUUUUUAGGUCACUGAAGCACCAAGAUUCCUGUACAGAGCUACUGAGCAAAGUACUUGUUCACAAUUUUCAGUCUAACUAAAACCUUUAAGAAAAUUUAGACUUUGAGAACUCUAAGUCUUUAGCAUAGAAUGAUGUGAAAUUACUGAUGUUAAUGUUGUGUCAUAAGAACCAAGAAGAAAGUUAAAUGAACCAAUCACAAUUCCAGAAUUCUCCAGAGGUUUAAUAAAUUCUGUAGUACCAGUUUCUCUUCCUUGCUCAUCUGUUUCCGAGCUUCCGUCUGGGCUUUGAAAUACUGGCUCAUCUGGGUAAAAUCACAUUUGCUUAGGUUGGUGAUAAUAUUCUUCUCUUCAUUAGUCAUUUCCUAGUCAAAAGAAAAUGGGGAGAUGAAAGAAAAACAACGAAAAUACACUAAUAAGUCCUUGGGUUUCUUUGCAAAUACACCCAAGCACCAUUUUUUCAGUCAAAGGUUUCUGGAAGUAGCCAAUCUCAAUUAAUGAAUUUUGAAAAAACAAAAAAAUACAGUUGUAUUACUUUAUUAUAAAAUAUGUACUUACUAAUAUUAAAAUGUUUUAAAAUGACUUA
rnacentral:lncRNA from 10 species